rnacentral:rRNA from 1 species
GGUUAAGCGACCAAGCGUACACGGUGGAUGCCCUGGCAGUCAGAGGCGAUGAAGGACGUGCUAAUCUGCGAUAAGCGCCGGUAAGGUGAUAUGAACCGUUAUAACCGGCGAUUUCCGAAUGGGGAAACCCAGUGUGACUCGUCACACUAUCAUUAACUGAAUCCAUAGGUUAAUGAGGCGAACCGGGGGAACUGAAACAUCUAAGUACCCCGAGGAAAAGAAAUCAACCGAGAUUCCCCCAGUAGCGGCGAGCGAACGGGGAGGAGCCCAGAGCCUGAAUCAGCAUGUGUGUUAGUGGAAGCGUCUGGAAAGGCGCGCGAUACAGGGUGACAGCCCCGUACACAAAAGCGCAUAUGCUGUGAGCUCGAUGAGUAGGGCGGGACACGUGGUAUCCUGUCUGAAUAUGGGGGGACCAUCCUCCAAGGCUAAAUACUCCUGACUGACCGAUAGUGAACCAGUACCGUGAGGGAAAGGCGAAAAGAACCCCGGCGAGGGGAGUGAAACAGAACCUGAAACCGUGUACGUACAAGCAGUGGGAGCACAGGUUUACCUGUGUGACUGCGUACCUUUUGUAUAAUGGGUCAGCGACUUAUAUUCUGUAGCAAGGUUAACCGAAUAGGGGAGCCGAAGGGAAACCGAGUCUUAAUUGGGCGUUAAGUUGCAGGGUAUAGACCCGAAACCCGGUGAUCUAGCCAUGGGCAGGUUGAAGGUUGGGUAACACUAACUGGAGGACCGAACCGACUAAUGUUGAAAAAUUAGCGGAUGACCUGUGGCUGGGGGUGAAAGGCCAAUCAAACCGGGAGAUAGCUGGUUCUCCCCGAAAGCUAUUUAGGUAGCGCCUCGUGAACUCAUCUCCGGGGGUAGAGCACUGUUUCGGCUAGGGGGCCAUCCCGGCUUACCAACCCGAUGCAAACUGCGAAUACCGGAGAAUGUUAUCACGGGAGACACACGGCGGGUGCUAACGUCCGUCGUGAAGAGGGAAACAACCCAGACCGCCAGCUAAGGUCCCAAAGUCAUGGUUAAGUGGGAAACGAUGUGGGAAGGCCCAGACAGCCAGGAUGUUGGCUUAGAAGCAGCCAUCAUUUAAAGAAAGCGUAAUAGCUCACUGGUCGAGUCGGCCUGCGCGGAAGAUGUAACGGGGCUAAACCAUGCACCGAAGCUGCGGCAGCGACGCUUAGGCGUUGUUGGGUAGGGGAGCGUUCUGUAAGCCUGCGAAGGUGGCCUGUGAGGGUUGCUGGAGGUAUCAGAAGUGCGAAUGCUGACAUAAGUAACGAUAAAGCGGGUGAAAAGCCCGCUCGCCGGAAGACCAAGGGUUCCUGUCCAACGUUAAUCGGGGCAGGGUGAGUCGACCCCUAAGGCGAGGCCGAAAGGCGUAGUCGAUGGGAAACGGGUUAAUAUUCCCGUACUUGGUGUUACUGCGAAGGGGGGACGGAGAAGGCUAUGUUGGCCGGGCGACGGUUGUCCCGGUUUAAGCGUGUAGGUGUGUGUUCCAGGUAAAUCCGGUUCACUUUAACACUGAGGCGUGACGACGAGGCACUACGGUGCUGAAGCAACAAAUGCCCUGCUUCCAGGAAAAGCCUCUAAGCAUCAGGUAACAUCAAAUCGUACCCCAAACCGACACAGGUGGUCAGGUAGAGAAUACCAAGGCGCUUGAGAGAACUCGGGUGAAGGAACUAGGCAAAAUGGUGCCGUAACUUCGGGAGAAGGCACGCUGACACGUAGGUGAAGUGAUUUACUCAUGGAGCUGAAGUCAGUCGAAGAUACCAGCUGGCUGCAACUGUUUAUUAAAAACACAGCACUGUGCAAACACGAAAGUGGACGUAUACGGUGUGACGCCUGCCCGGUGCCGGAAGGUUAAUUGAUGGGGUCAGCGCAAGCGAAGCUCCUGAUCGAAGCCCCGGUAAACGGCGGCCGUAACUAUAACGGUCCUAAGGUAGCGAAAUUCCUUGUCGGGUAAGUUCCGACCUGCACGAAUGGCGUAAUGAUGGCCAGGCUGUCUCCACCCGAGACUCAGUGAAAUUGAACUCGCUGUGAAGAUGCAGUGUACCCGCGGCAAGACGGAAAGACCCCGUGAACCUUUACUAUAGCUUGACACUGAACAUUGAGCCUUGAUGUGUAGGAUAGGUGGGAGGCUUUGAAGCGUGGACGCCAGUCUGCGUGGAGCCAACCUUGAAAUACCACCCUUUAAUGUUUGAUGUUCUAACGUGGACCCGUAAUCCGGGUUGCGGACAGUGUCUGGUGGGUAGUUUGACUGGGGCGGUCUCCUCCUAAAGAGUAACGGAGGAGCACGAAGGUUGGCUAAUCCUGGUCGGACAUCAGGAGGUUAGUGCAAUGGCAUAAGCCAGCUUGACUGCGAGCGUGACGGCGCGAGCAGGUGCGAAAGCAGGUCAUAGUGAUCCGGUGGUUCUGAAUGGAAGGGCCAUCGCUCAACGGAUAAAAGGUACUCCGGGGAUAACAGGCUGAUACCGCCCAAGAGUUCAUAUCGACGGCGGUGUUUGGCACCUCGAUGUCGGCUCAUCACAUCCUGGGGCUGAAGUAGGUCCCAAGGGUAUGGCUGUUCGCCAUUUAAAGUGGUACGCGAGCUGGGUUUAGAACGUCGUGAGACAGUUCGGUCCCUAUCUGCCGUGGGCGCUGGAGAAUUGAGGGGGGCUGCUCCUAGUACGAGAGGACCGGAGUGGACGCAUCACUGGUGUUCGGGUUGUCAUGCCAAUGGCACUGCCCGGUAGCUAAAUGCGGAAGAGAUAAGUGCUGAAAGCAUCUAAGCACGAAACUUGCCCCGAGAUGAGUUCUCCCUGAGACUUAGAGUCUCCUGAAGGAACGUUGAAGACGACGACGUUGAUAGGCCGGGUGUGUAAGCGCAGCGAUGCGUUGAGCUAACCGGUACUAAUGAACCGUGAGGCUUAACCUU